GAUGAAGAACGUAGCGAAAUGCGAUACUUGGUGUGAAUUGCAGAAUCCCGUGAACCAUCGAGUCUUUGAACGCAAGUUGCGCCCGAAGCCAUCAGGUUGAGGGCACGUCUGCCUGGGCGUCACAUAUCGUUGCCCAAUGCCUAUUGCAGUGCAAUAGGAAUUUCUAGGGCGAAUGAUGGCUUCCCGUGAGCGUUGUUGCCUCGCGGUUGGUUGAAAAUCGAGUCCUUGGUAGGGUGUGCCAUGGUAGAUGGUGGUCGAGUUAGAACGAUACCGAUCAUGUGCAUGCUCCCCAAAAUAUGGCCUCUAUGACCCACACGCGUCUUUUGACGCUCAUGACGAGACCUCAGGUCAGGCGGGGCUACCCGCUGAAUUUAAGCAUAUCAAUAGCGGAGGA
rnacentral:misc_RNA from 1 species